AAGGGUAUAGCUCAAGUGGUAGAGCGCAUGCUCAGCAUGCAAGAGGUCCCUGGGUUCAAUCCCCAGUACCUCCU
rnacentral:tRNA from 1 species